rnacentral:rRNA from 1 species
UCCUGGUGGCGAGUGGCGAACGGGUGAGUAAUAUAUCGGAACGUGCCCAGUCGUGGGGGAUAACGUAGAGAAAUUUACGCUAAUACCGCAUACGAUCUAAGGAUGAAAGCGGGGGACCGUAAGGCCUCGCGCGAUUGGAGCGGCUGAUAUCAGAUUAGGUUGUUGGUGAGGUAAAAGCUCACCAAGCCGACGAUCUGUAGCUGGUUUGAGAGAACGACCAGCCACACUGGGACUGAGACACGGCCCAGACUCCUACGGGAGGCAGCAGUGGGGAAUUUUGGACAAUGGGCGAAAGCCUGAUCCAGCAAUGCCGCGUGCAGGAAGAAGGCCUUCGGGUUGUAAACUGCUUUUGUACGGAACGAAAAGGUCUGCCUUAAUACGGCGGGCCCAUGACGGUACCGUAAGAAUAAGCACCGGCUAACUACGUGCCAGCAGCCGCGGUAAUACGUAGGGUGCGAGCGUUAAUCGGAAUUACUGGGCGUAAAGCGUGCGCAGGCGGUGAUGUAAGACAGUUGUGAAAUCCCCGGGCUCAACCUGGGAAUUGCAUCUGUGACUGCAUCGCUAGAGUACGGUAGAGGGGGAUGGAAUUCCGCGUGUAGCAGUGAAAUGCGUAGAUAUGCGGAGGAACACCGAUGGCGAA